rnacentral:rRNA from 1 species
AACGAACGCUGGCGGCAUGCCUAACACAUGCAAGUCGAACGAGACCUUCGGGUCUAGUGGCGCACGGGUGCGUAACGCGUGGGAACCUGCCCUUAGGUUCGGAAUAACUCCCCGAAAGGGGUGCUAAUACCGGAUAAUGUCUUCGGACCAAAGAUUUAUCGCCUUUGGAUGGGCCCGCGUUGGUUUAGCUAGUUGGUAGGGUAAAAGCCUACCAAGGCGACGAUCCAUAGCUGGUCUGAGAGGAUGAUCAGCCACACUGGGACUGAGACACGGCCCAGACUACUACGGGAGGCAGCAGUGGGGAAUAUUGGAAAAUGGGCGAAAGCCUGAUGCAGCAAGGCCGCGUGAGUGAUGAAGGCCUUAGGGUUGUAAAGCUCUUUUACCCGGGAUGAUAAUGACAGUACCGGGAGAAUAAGCUCCGGCUAACUCCGUG